AGGAUUUUAGUUUAAAUAAAACAUUUGAUUUGCAUUCAAAAUAUAUUGAAAUUUCAAUUUAUCUUA
rnacentral:tRNA from 1 species